GCUGCCGUUUCCAUGCAGUACAGGCAGCGUGAUCAGAGCGCUAACACAACAGCCUGUGUAAUUACAUGUUUCUGCAAAGUGUGUUAGCUCCAUGGGGAGCUGAGUCCAUUUGGAGGGGAGGAGGAGGAAGAGACUUUCUUUGAGGGGGGGGGAUAAGGUGAAAAGGGUCAGUGAGUAACCCAGCUCUGGCUGGAAUAGGAUAAAGGUAAUUGUUACUCUCAAGUGAGCACCGGGUGGCUCUGGCUGCUCUCACUGCUCAUGUCUGUGCUGUGCAGGCGUCUGCUCUGCCGAGCAGGCGAGAAGAGAGGAGAGGUUUGACCCUGUUGGGAGCGGUACGUGGCGGGGUUUGACGUGGUUUCUGCGCCAGCAUCACCAGGGCAGGCAGGAAGAUGCAGAGUCAGGGGCACGGCACUUCUGUGCUGCCCAGGAUUUAUUUAGGUGCAGUAAGGGACCAUGGCAAUUAAGAACAAUUAAUGACAGUCUGCGAGCUGGGGCAGGGGGAGGAUGGCUUGGACCUAACCUGUCAUUGAGCCGUGGGCUCUGUGGAUGCUUUGCUGUGACGGAGGGCCGAGGGCUGACCAAGUCGUGGGGAGGAUUUGUAUGUAGGAAGAGAGGAGAUGGCUGUGCAGCGUGCUCCCGAAUCUGCUCUGAGCUUGCUGAUGAGUGCCAGAUCUCCUCCUGACUGCAGAGCACAGGGUAAUGACUGGUGUUUAUCCGAGCUGUUUGCUGCAACAUGUUGAGCCACUGACCUACUUCUGAAAGUUCUGCAUAUUUAUAAUAUUUUAAAGAAGAUUAUUUAGAACACGUGGCUGACUCUAGAAACGUGCCAGUGUCCUGCUGCAAUUAAAGUAAGCCCUUUUGGUGGGGUAUUAGAGUUGCUUAGCUUUACUGAUUUUAUUUAUUUUUUUUUUCCUCUCUCUGGUACUUCUGUUGCCAUUUUCUGUGCAGCAGCAUCAGAGAUGAUUUUAAUGUAAGAUCUCUGCUGGAUGUUUUUCUAUCUAAAUGUCACUGUAGCAUUUCUGCUGGAGAGUUGUUGUAAGUAGCAUGUGUGUGUGUGCACAUGUGCGUGAGAAUGCAUAGAUACAUAGGCAUUAUAUACAUAUUUAUAUAAUUAUUGUCAUUACCACUGAUCUCUUCUGAUUGCAUUAGGAAAUGGUCUCUAGCACUCGGAGACAUGAUGAGUUUAGUAAAGGGAAUGCUGCAGCAUCACAGCCCUGCAGUGCCUAAGGUUGUUAACAAAGGUCAAGUUGAGAAAAGCAGAUUUUAUGUCCAUUACUCGAAAUGCUAAACAUGCUAUUAAACCUCUGCAUGGUUUGUUUUAUAUUUGUCAGUGACUGACUUGCUGUGCAAGCUCAUUUUAUUUCCUCUUGCUUACCUCCGGCCUUCCUGGCUUUUUAAAUGACCUCUUUCUAAUUUCUCUUUUAAAAAUAAAUUGUUGAGUGUCUGUAACCCUUAUGUCA
rnacentral:lncRNA from 1 species